GACGAACGCUGGCGGCGUGCUUAACACAUGCAAGUCGAACGGAAAGGCCCUGCUUGCAGGGUCCUCGAGUGGCGAACGGGUGAGUAACACGUGGGUGCUCUGCCCUGCACUUCGGGAUAAGCCUGGGCAACUGGGUCUAAUACCGGAUAGGAGCUAUUUUUAGUGUGAUGGUUGGAAAGUUUUUUCGGUGUAGGAUGAGCUCGCGGCCUAUCAGCUUGUUGGUGGGGUAAUGGCCUACCAACGCGGCGACGGGUAGCCGGCCUGCGGGGGUGGACGGCCACAUUGGGACCGAGAGGCGGCCCAGACUCCUACUGGAGGCAGCAGGGGGGAAUAUUGCACCAUGGGCGCAAGCCUGAUGCAGCGAGGCCGCGUGGGGGAUGACGGCCUUCGUGUUGUAAACUCCUUUCGCUAGGGACGAAGCUUUUUGUGACGGUACCUAGAUAAGAAGCACCGGCUAACUACGUG
rnacentral:rRNA from 1 species